AGCAGCAUGGCGCAGUUGGAAGCGCGCGGGGCCCAUACCACAUGAAACCCCGAGGUCACUUGAUCGAAACAAGUUGCUGCUA